CCCCGAGUCACACAGGUGCUGGCUUUGCCCCUUCCAGGUGCAAACUUCAGUUCCGGGGGCGGGGGGGAAAGCAGUGAGAGGCACCAUCGGACCACAGGCUGGGUAACGCUGCGUCUUCCUGCGGCUUUUGUUCAAAAGCAGCAGAGCAGUUGGUUUCACAUUUUAGUGGCUUCUUAUGUCUAGGGGCCUAGUCUGCACAGGAUAAAUUCCUGCCGCCUGGGUCUCUGCGCCUGAUGUGUGCCUACAUGAGUCACUCCUGUCAGAAUGACCUCGGAGCAUGAUUCAGAGGGAACUCGGAGUCCAGGAGAGCUCUUGGAAUGAGAGAUGAAUCUGUCUCCUUCGGUGUGAUGCCUGCCACGAGACAGUCUUCCUUGAAAACAAACAAACACAGAAACAAAAACUAUUGCCUGGUGGCCCUCUUCGUCUGCAUUUUUCCCCCUCCAGAGGUUGCCUAGGAGGUUUGUGUAAUUGCCUUGUGCUC
rnacentral:lncRNA from 1 species